rnacentral:rRNA from 1 species
UCUCCAGACUCCUACGGGAGGCAGCAGUGGGGAAUAUUGCACAAUGGGGGAAACCCUGAUGCAGCGACGCCGCGUGAGCGAUGAAGUAUUUCGGUAUGUAAAGCUCUAUCAGCAGGGAAGAAAAUGACGGUACCUGACUAAGAAGCCCCGGCUAACUACGUGCCAGCAGCCGCGGUAAUACGUAGGGGGCAAGCGUUAUCCGGAUUUACUGGGUGUAAAGGGAGCGUAGACGGUCCUGCAAGCCAGAUGUGAAAGCCCGGGGCUCAACCCCGGGACUGCAUUUGGAACUGUAAGGCUAGAGUGUCGGAGAGGCAGGCGGAAUUCCUAGUGUAGCGGUGAAAUGCGUAGAUAUAUGGAGGAACACCGGUGGCGAAAGCGGCUCUCUGGCCUGUAACUGACGCUGAGGCUCGAAAGCGUGGGGAGCAAACAGGAUUAGAUACCCGAGUACC